CUCCAUCUGCUGGACAGCAACUAGAUGAAGUGCAUUUUUCUGUUAAAUCAGAAUCUUGACAGAAUCUAGGAAUUAUGACUGAUAAAGAGCAAGACAAGGCCGUAUUUCACACCCUAAAUAUCCCCCUCCUUGAAGAGUCACACAUUCACAGCUGUGGUAUUUAAGCUCAUUUGAGCCACGACACAAAAACUGACAAUCGUGUUGCUCAAGUUUCCAAGUUUUUAAGCCUUUUAUCAGAGCCGAACAACAAUUGAUUUAAAAUCCACUGAUGCCCUCGGGAGAGUUUAGUCUUGCAAAACUCACAACAACAAGAUGUCCUACUAUCUUCUCUGCCAAUUAAAAAAAUAAAAAAAUAAUGUAAUGCUUAGAUUUAAUUACCGAUAAUGAAUGAAAGAAUAAAAACCUCUGAAACUCCAUGAAAAGUACUUUGAUAAAUUACUCACUUUUCAGAUCAGCCUACCGAGAGAAAGUGAAUCCCAAUUUUAACUUUCAAUAAAAGUGCUGUGUUGUGACACAUUACCACUCAUGAAUCUAGUACACACACAUAUAUAUAUAUAUAUAUAAAUAUAAAUAAAUCAACUCCAUACCUUUAGGAAAAUGAAGACAGAAGAGUAGCACGAAGUACCAGUGGUCCUUUUGUACAGCUUCCAUCUUGCCCCAGCGAGGGAGAAUGAAAGCUGCAUUGAUGAGACGAGGCGAGAGGCGAGCUGCACUUCCUGCUCGCUCUGUGGCUGCAGGGGAAGACUUGAGCAACUGGGGGGCUUCAUGUGAGCCGACUGCUGGCUCAUUCAACACAGAGGGGCACUUACCAGUAGGACUGGGACUGGGAGGCAAGCUUAUAAUGCGGCACGCUGGGAACCACUCUGCCGGUUUCUUAAUUGCCCCUCAGCUGCACCUGAAAUGCUGCAAAUGAUUUUCAUCCGACAUGCAAUCAUUUAUAUCCUUCACUGAGGACUUGAGUACUUUGACAUUUCAUAAAACAUCAACAUGUCUGAUGUCUAUAUAAUGUAUGGGGGGGGGGGGGUACAUGUAAACUAAAUUGAUGCUUAGUUUGUGAGUUUACAAAGAUGUCAGUCUGUCCACCACUUUAGCUCAGACUGUAAUAUCCAUCCAAUAUCCAUGGAUGGCCAUGAAGGUUUGUAGAGACAUUUAUGGAUCCCAGAGGAUGAAUCUUAUUGAUUUUAUGAGCCCCAACUUUUCUUCUAUAGCGCCACCAUGAGGUUGACAUUUGUCAUGAAGAAAUAACAUAUUUUGAAAGCUAUUGGAUGGAUUAAAGUAAUGUUCCACUGAUGUUCAACAUUUCUGGAAAAUAAAUGUCUGUGGUGAUGCCCUUUG